rnacentral:piRNA from 1 species
UGGGAAUUCACGCCACCAGGUGUUUGUGCA